GCAAGCGUGGUGGAAUGGUAGACACGCUACUCUUAGGAAGUAGUGACCUCGGUUGUGAGAGUUCGAGUCUCUCCGCUUGUACAA
rnacentral:tRNA from 1 species